rnacentral:rRNA from 1 species
UACGUAGGUGGCGAGCGUUGUCCGGAAUUACUGGGCGUAAAGGGCGCGUAGGCGGCUCUUUAAGUCAGAUGUGAAAACCCAGGGCUUAACUCUGGGAGUGCAUUUGAAACUGAAGGGCUUGAGUGCAGGAGAGGUAAGUGGAAUUCCUAGUGUAGCGGUGAAAUGCGUAGAUAUUAGGAGGAACACCAGUGGCGAAGGCGACUUACUGGACUGUAACUGACGCUGAGGCGCGAAAGCGUGGGGAGCAAACAGGAUUAGAUACCCUGGUAGUCCACGCUGUAAACGAUGGAUACUAGGUGUGGGAGGUAUCGACCCCUUCCGUGCCGCAGUAAACGCAAUAAGUAUCCCGCCUGGGGAGUACGGCCGCAAGGUUGAA